CAGUAGCCACGGUAACACGGAGGGUGCAAGCGUUAAUCGGAAUUACUGGGCGUAAAGCGCACGCAGGCGGUUUGUUAAGUCAGAUGUGAAAUCCCCGAGCUUAACUUGGGAACUGCAUUUGAAACUGGCAAGCUAGAGUCUUGUAGAGGGGGGUAGAAUUCCAGGUGUAGCGGUGAAAUGCGUAGAGAUGUGGAGGAACACCGAUGGCGAAGGCAGCCCCCUGGGCCAAUACUGACGCUCAUGCACGAAAGCGUGGGGAGCAAACAGGAUUAGAGACCCGUGUAGUCCCUGUCUCUUAUAC
rnacentral:rRNA from 1 species